AAUCUUAAAAAUGACUAUCGUGUUUAUACUGUGCAAAAAACAACUGAUGAUCCAGUAAUAAUUGCUGAGUUGGUUGGUGGAGAUGGUAAUGGUGAUGAAAAUACUGAUGAGGUUACUCAAGAGGUAGCUGACGUUAAAGACGUUAACCUUUCAGACUCUUCUCAGGUGUCUGCUGAACGAACUUCAAGGUUGUUUUGUGAUCUGUUGGAAGGAUGUUGUCUCUGUUACGGCCGACUCUUCAGUCGUUGAAGUUGAAAAGGAUUCUGGAUCAAGUCCCAAUGGAAAGCGGAUGGCUCAAGAUGCUGAUGUUGCCAACGUUGGUGAGCUAUCCACUAAUGUGA